rnacentral:lncRNA from 1 species
UCAAAAGAUAUUAGGUGACUUCAGUCAAGCUGAUUCAAUGGCAUCAACACCAACAGAGAGCGUAAUUGUCAGGAUUGAUCCUCUAGAACCUGAAGGAAGAGUAAACACUUUUAGAGAAAGCAGCUAGAUGCAAGAAAAGCAGAAACCAACAUCAAUCUAGAAUCUGUCAGCAGUUAGAUAGAAGAUUUUAGAUUCUAAGCCAUAGAAAGGUAGAUACUUCUAUUCUUUUAUGUCUUUCUUUUUGCCUGUAGCACAAAGUGUCGACAGAGCGAAUAUAAUCUCACUUUACAAGAGCAUCUCACGGGUUCAUCAAAGUUCUUUUAGCAAAGUUAUUUGUAAUGGUGGCAUGUCAACUAUGCAUUCAUAUCCAAAAACAUUAAGAAUUAUCUAUAACCAAGACUGAUAAGUGCUAAUCAUAUUCUUAUGUGUCACAAUCUCUACACAGAACCAAAAAGUCAUUAGACAGAACAAAUGGUGUCUAAUCAUAUUCUUCUGUGUCACAAUCUCUACACAGAACCAAAAAGUAAUGAUGCUAAGGUUUGUGUAAAGCAGCAGUGUCUAGUCUAUGAAGUGCAUGCAUUUACGAUGCAGACCUCAUCUUGUGUAUGCUUGAUAUUGAAAAAAUGUAUCUAUCUACUUGACACGACCCACUUCAUAAACUACCUAUAUACCGCAAAACCAAUAAACACACAUCGGGAUAGCAAAUAACACAUGUCAGAUGAUCCUUCCCCCCAAUGAUAAAGAAAUAAACUAUGCCAUAGGAAUAUGGACCCAACCAAUAAUAGAGAAAAACAACCAACAUAAGUUUCAAGUUAGACCUGAAGCUACUUUGGGGAAUGCAUAGCCUUGUAAGAAUCUAAACCGCCAGUCAGUGAUAAACGCAUCUUAUGAGAUCUAACUUUGACACCAGACAUAUCCAAGCCAAAAUACACUGUAAAAACAUAGAGUUGAUCUGUAGAUACCAUCCCCAAAAUUCAUACACCAAAAUCCAAGUGAUGGUAUGAAGCAAGAUAAGUGAGAAAUCAUUCACCAUUAUUAAACCAAAUACGGUUAAACUUCCAAGGAUUCUUAUCACAAGCAUCUCCUACUCUACUCUGAGGGUUGAUACCAGUUACCGUAUUGAUGCCUCAACUUACCCACCCUUUAUCUUAUCAAAUUGGUACUAAAGUUUGUAUCAAAUCGUGGUGUCUAGAUCUAAUAUACUUGCUCUAUUGUUCUUCUUUUCCCCACAACAGGCACACAUCUUGGGUAUUGUACACUAGCUACUGCAAGAUAUUUUCAUGAAAAUUGAACGAACAAAAGGCUUAGUGUAACGAUUCAGAUCUUGGAAGUCCUAUCUCCUAGUAUGAAAACAGAAGAAAACUACAAAGUUGGCCUAAUGAUAAAAAAAAAAAAAAAGUUAUGCUAAUAUAAAAGAAUGCAUGGAGUGUUCACUAGAUAUAGUGAUAUACCACUUGAUAUCUUAGUCGUUUUCAUAGAUUCUCCAAAUACCAAACUCAGAAUCUUGAUCACUGGGUGAUUCAAAACAGCCAAACAAGUUGCAAUCCACAACCUAUUGUAUAAAAAAUAACUAACUACGAGAUUUUGGAGAUCCUGCAAUUUAAAAUGAAGCAACAUGUCAUAAAAAUAUGAUGGUUCAAAUAGGGCUUAAGAUCCUAGGCAUUUCUUAUUGGAUGAGAUAUAACUAAAGUGUUGAAAAGUUCAAUUAAUAAGCACAGCCCCACUUAACAAUGAGAGUUCAAUAGAGUAAUUGAGCUUUUCCACAAAAAAGAAGGGUUAUUGGUUAACAACAGAAGACUGUGGUUUACAGGUAGCAUAUGUCCAUUACACGCAUCUUAGAUGGUAUCAAAUCAUAUCUGGUAAUAUGUUAUUGAGCUUGUGAAAACUGCAACGAAGUAUUUGUAAGUACAAAAACUGCAACAAAGUUUUCCUAAGCACAUCUUUUGCUGUGAUAAAUUGCAGGUUUAGCUUAAGUAAUGCCCUUACUUCAACAUGCAAUGGUCUAAAAUUGUUCAACUCUCUCAACAAUCUAUAAAUUUUACUUCAGUUAACUACUGGAACAACUGUAGGAUAUCAAUAGAUCAUAGCUGUAAUUUAUAACAAAGAUGUUCAAAUUUCUGCUACUAUCGCAAUUAUUAUAAUGUUCUUUUGGUGGGGGAGAACUAUCCUAUUAUAUUAAUACGCGUUAAAAGUAUGUAAAUACAGAAGCACUAGAGAACAAUGAUAGCUUUAGAAGAUAAUGUUUCAAAAUACUAUCUUAGUGCUUUAAGAAAAUCUUGGCCACUUAUUGGCCUAAAGACCUUGAUCAGUAAGAUAGAUUCAUGUCUAACCUUUUUGUAAUAUAACAUAUAUUGUAACUAUGCUAAUAGUAUUAUAAAGAAAGUUUCGUCGACAUACCGUUAUAAAGCAAAAGAGCUGCUACACAAUAGGCUCUGCCUAUUCAUCCUAGCACAUACCGAAGUUCUCUACAUUAUCAUGACAAGAAAAGAUAUUUAGUAGGAACGAUGAACAAAUAGAUAUUUAGUACGAACGUUGAAUAAAUAGAUAUUUACUCAACAGAUAUUUAGCAGGAACGAUGAACAACUAGAUAUUUACUUAACAGAUAUUUAGUAGGAAAAGUACUUAAAAGUACACCGAGAGACAAACACUGAGAAUAGGCGUUCAAGAGUAAAUGAUUAAAGAAUAGGUUCCACCAAAGAAAUUCAUAGAUUGAAAAUCAAUAAUGGUACAUGCAUAACUAAAAAAACAGGAUUAAAGCUCUGUGUUUCAGUAUUUCCAGUUUCUUGCAAAAGUGAGCUCUACUUAUAACGUUCCUGAAAUUUUUUUAAUGACACUUUAAAACCCAUUGGAUCCAAACUCUUACUUGAGUAUUCCAGAAAUAUUCCAAUUCUCAUGUUAUUUCACCUCAAGAGAACCAUAUACAUGCAGACAUUUAGAUACUUGGGAAUUAUCAGAAUAAAAUUUGCAAAUACUACCCAGACUUAAACAUAUAAUAACGUUAAUCAAAUAGAAUCUAGCUUAUCAAGACUCAACACAGGACAAAAAUGAUAAAACAAAGUUUUAUAAUUUAAAGUCGGGCAUAAAUAAAUGAUUUCCAAAUUUAAUGUUGGAAAAGUGAUAGUCCCUAUACACAAGCAUCUUAGGGUUGGAGGAGGUAUGGGCCAAUGGCACAAUCAGCACUCAAGUCUCAUUUGAAGAAAAAAAAAACUAAAAAGAAGAAACCCCACUUUCUUAGAAAAAUAGUAUUAGAUAAAAUACUCAGUCCCCACAGUAAUCAGUAAGCAUCUCGAGCUAUAUUUAAGACAACUUUGAAUUCCUCAGAACUUAAGAAGCAAUAACCAAAGAAAGCCAACAAAGCAUAGAGAAGCGACUUUGACCUUAAGCUUUCUCAAAGAGUAAAAAUGUCUGCAAAUGAGUUACCUUCUUCAGCUCAAGCCUUCCAAGAACAAUUCCUUGGCGGUUUUGUCUCUAGAAAGCUGCUUCUGCACAACCCAUUUGACCACAAC